rnacentral:rRNA from 1 species
GACGAACGCUGGCGGCGUGCCUAAUACAUGCAAGUUGAGCGCUGAAGGUUGGUACUUGUACCAACUGGAUGAGCAGCGAACGGGUGAGUAACGCGUGGGGAAUCUGCCUUUGAGCGGGGGACAACAUUUGGAAACGAAUGCUAAUACCGCAUAAAAACUUUAAACACAAGUUUUAAGUUUGAAAGAUGCAAUUGCAUCACUCAAAGAUGAUCCCGCGUUGUAUUAGCUAGUUGGUGAGGUAAAGGCUCACCAAGGCGAUGAUACAUAGCCGACCUGAGAGGGUGAUCGGCCAAAUUGGGACUGAGACACGGCCCAAACUCCUACGGGAGGCAGCAGUAGGGAAUCUUCGGCAAUGGACGAAAGUCUGACCGAGCAACGCCGCGUGAGUGAAGAAGGUUUUCGGGUCGUAAAACUCUGUUGGUAGAGAAGAACGUUGGUGAGAGUGGAAAGCUCAUCAAGUGACGGUAACUACCCAGAAAGGGACGGCUAACUACGUG